rnacentral:rRNA from 1 species
UGCCCGGAGCAGGGGGAUAAGCGGAAGAAAUUCCGUCUAAUACCGCGUAAUGAGGCGGGGAGGCAUCUCCCCGCUUCCAAAGAUUUAUCGGCUCCGGAUGGUCAUGCGGCGCAUUAGCUGGUUGGCGGGGUAACGGCCCACCAAGGCGACGAUGCGUAGGGGUUCUGAGAGGAAGGCCCCCCACACUGGUACUGAGACACGGACCAGACUCCUACGGGAGGCAGCAGUGAGGAAUAUUGGUCAAUGGCCGGGAGGCUGAACCAGCCAAGUCGCGUGAGGGAUGACGGCCCUACGGGUUGUAAACCUCUUUUGCCGGGGAGCAAGAACCGCCUCGCGCAGGCGGACUGAGAGUACCCGGAGAAAAAGCAUCGGCUAACUCCGUGCCAGCAGCCGCGGUAAUACGGAGGAUGCGAGCGUUAUCCGGAUUCAUUGGGUUUAAAGGGUGCGCAGGCGGGCGGUCAAGUCAGCGGUAAAAUCGUGGGGCCCAACCCCAUCCCGCCGUUGAAACUGGCCGUCUUGAGUGGGCGAGAAGUAUGCGGAAUGCGUGGUGUAGCGGUGAAAUGCAUAGAUAUCACGCAGAACUCCGAUUGCGAAGGCAGCAUACCGGCGCCCGACUGACGCUCAUGCACGNAAGCGUGGGUAUCGAACAGGAUUAGAUACCCUG